rnacentral:rRNA from 1 species
AUGCUCCCGCUCGCCGCCGCAAGGGCCUGCCUUUCCUCCCCGGCGCCGUCGCCGAGACCGCAAACCCGAGCGGCGCCUCCCUCCCCCCUUCCCCGUCGCCACUCCACCGCCACACUGCCCAGACCAGCCAGGAUCCCCUUCCUCCGCCCGCUCGGGGAUGGCGCGCCGGGCGCGUCCUCACGGCCCACGAGGGACCACAUGAUCGACCUUGGCAAGCACAAGGGCCAGAUGCUGGGCACGCUGCCGUCGUACUACCUGCGCUGGGUGGUCGCGGAGCUCGGCCACGGGGACACGCUGGUCUGGGAGCGCCUGGCGCGCGAGGUGCUCGACGACCCCGUCUAUGUCGACCGCGAGAUGGCCGAGCGCUUCGGCUGGGAUGUCUCCAACGAGGACGGCUGGGGCCGCCUCGACUUCCACCUCCUCAUCACCUCAUAUGGCGGCCGCAUCCCGAGGAAGGCCGACCGGCGCUAG